rnacentral:rRNA from 1 species
UACGAAGGGGGCUAGCGUUGUUCGGAAUUACUGGGCGUAAAGCGCACGUAGGCGGAUACUUAAGUUAGGGGUGAAAUCCCAGGGCUCAACCCUGGAACUGCCUUUAAUACUGGGUAUCUUGAGUUCGAGAGAGGUGAGUGGAAUUCCGAGUGUAGAGGUGAAAUUCGUAGAUAUUCGGAAGAACACCAGUGGCGAAGGCGGCUCACUGGCCUGGUAUUGACGCUGAGGUGCGAAAGCGUGGGGAUCAAACAGG